rnacentral:misc_RNA from 1 species
UAGCCGUAUCGGAAGGUGCGGCUGGAUCACCUCCUUUUGAGUAUGGUGAAUAUAAUUGUCUUAUCAGGCGUCCUCACAAGUUACUUGCAUUCAGGGUUUGAUGUUGGCAUAGGUUUGGGUUUAUGUUGGCGAUUUUUGUUCUGGGGGCCUUAGCUCAGCUGGUAGAGCACCUGCUUUGCAAGCAGGGGGUCGUCGGUUCGAUCCCGACAGGCUCCACCAUGAAAGUAUUUAUGGGUCUGUAGCUCAGGUGGUUAGAGCGCACCCCUGAUAAGGGUGAGGUCGGUGGUUCGAGUCCUCCCAGACCCACCAAUGUUAUAUCAAUUAUUCUGAAUGUGGUUUGCGCAUUUUUUAUGCUUAUCAGCCUUGGAACUGUGAAGCGUUCUUUUAUAAUUUGAUGAUGUAGCAAGCGUUUGAACUUUUUAUUAAUAAUUUCUCAUUGGAAGCCUUAAGUGACAAUGUUUAUCCAUUGUCUUGUAGAUUUUGAGGCGACUUUGGGUUAUAUGGUCAAGCGAAUAAGCGCAC